ensembl:lncRNA
CUGAACGCAGUGUGCAACAUCAGGAAGUAGCAUUAGCUACUCUAGCGUAGUGGUGGAAAUGUUUGUUUUAUUAAGCAGGACAUUCAUACGAACCUUUUUUAACCUUGAUUUUUAAGUUUCGUAAUAAAACAAACAUUUCCACCACUACGCUAGAAUGGCUAAUGCUAAAUUGGGGAGAAAAAGGGGUAAAAUUCAAAAAAAGAAAAAAAAAGGAGGAGGGUGAUGAAGAUCACAGCGAUCAAGAGGAUAUGGACACUGCGUCCGAUACCGGUCAGCUAUUCAAAGAUUAUGAGCACGAGAUACACGACAUCAUACAAAGUCGGAGUUCGGAACAUCGACCCAUGGAUGUGAGCGGUUGUAGUUAUACAAGACAAAGAGCCAUCAAAACCCCAGUAAAACGCAGGUUAUGUACAUUUCCCGUAUUGAACAGGAGCUCAGAUGACCACCCUGUGUGUAAGAAGCAAGAGUGCACGAGUGGAGUAAAACACGAAGCGAACCCGGAAUACACAGUGAAAGCAGAGAAGCAAGAAGAGCCUAAUCUUCCAGUGAAGAUCGAGUCCCAAGAUACCCCCCAUAACAACAUUGUUGACUGUUGUCAACUAAAAAGACAAGAGAAUGGUUCGGAGGCUCAUCUGAAGGCGGAAAAAUGGUACUGGUGAACCCCUGUACACAUAACCAGGCCUCUAUCAUAUAUAUAUAGAGGCACGAGGACAGUCUCUCGAGUAAGGAGGACCAGCCAUGUCUGGUACUAGAAGCAAUGUUCCUAAUAACAGUACUUUGUACCACUCAGACAAGAGCCUCCCUGACACAGACCUGUGCAUAUGGAGCUUUGCUAUGGUCCUAAUAAUGGUUGUGCUGUCACUUAUCCUUUGCUUGUGUUACAUAUAUGUGCUAUGUGCAAGGAAGACAAGAUACAUCAGACUGCCUUUGAUUUCGGUGUGAUUCUAUUUAAUGUGAUGUUACUCAGUUGACCUGCUAAUAAACAGACACAAAUGUGGUUUUGUGGUAGUGUUCUUUAUUGGUGGGCCGAACAAACAAUACAUCAAGUAUACAAUGAAUAU